rnacentral:misc_RNA from 1 species
GAAACGCGAUAGUUAAUGUGAAUUGCAGAAUUCAGUGAAUCAUCGAGUCUUUGAACGCACAUUGCGCCCAUUGGUAUUCCAUUGGGCAUGUCUGUUUGAGCGUCAUUACAACCCUUCAACGUAAGUUGGUUAUGGGCUUUUCUGUGCUAGACCCUUUUGGGUUUGGGAACAGGCCUUAAAGUUGUAUGCUCUGCAGGCUGCUUUGCCAAACCAAAACAUAGUAAAAAUCUACUCUUGUUUACAGUGAAGCAUUGCACGCUCUGCCUGAAUAAAAACACAAAUCUUUCUUAGGUUUGACCUCAGAUCAGACAAGGAUACCCGCUGAACUUAA